rnacentral:miRNA from 1 species
AGGUGGGAGGAUUGCUUGAGGUCAGGAGUUAGAGGUUACAGCAAGCUAUGAUCAUACCACUGCACUCCAGCCUGAGUGACAAAGCAAGACUCUGUCU